GGAGAAAUGGCCGAGUGGUCGAAGGCGCUUUCCUGCUAAGAAAGUAUACGGGUGACCGUAUCGAGGGUUCGAAUCCCUCUUUCUCCGCCA
rnacentral:tRNA from 1 species